rnacentral:rRNA from 1 species
AUUGAACGCUGGCGGCAGGCCUAACACAUGCAAGUCGAGCGGAUGAAGGGAGCUUGCUCCUGGAUUCAGCGGCGGACGGGUGAGUAAUGCCUAGGAAUCUGCCUGGUAGUGGGGGAUAACGUCCGGAAACGGGCGCUAAUACCGCAUACGUCCUGAGGGAGAAAGUGGGGGAUCUUCGGACCUCACGCUAUCAGAUGAGCCUAGGUCGGAUUAGCUAGUUGGUGGGGUAAAGGCCUACCAAGGCGACGAUCCGUAACUGGUCUGAGAGGAUGAUCAGUCACACUGGAACUGAGACACGGUCCAGACUCCUACGGGAGGCAGCAGUGGGGAAUAUUGGACAAUGGGCGAAAUCCUGAUCCAGCCAUGCCGCGUGUGUGAAGAAGGUCUUCGGAUUGUAAAGCACUUUAAGUUGGGAGGAAGGGCAGUAAGUUAAUACCUUGCUGUUUUGACGUUACCAACAGAAUAAGCACCGGCUAACUUCGUG